GUACACGGUGGAUGCCCUGGCAGUCAGAGGCGAUGAAGGACGUGCUAAUCUGCGAUAAGCGUCGGUAAGGUGAUAUGAACCGUUAUAACCGGCGAUUUCCGAAUGGGGAAACCCAGUGUGAUUCGUCACACUAUCAUUAACUGAAUCCAUAGGUUAAUGAGGCGAACCGGGGGAACUGAAACAUCUAAGUACCCCGAGGAAAAGAAAUCAACCGAGAUUCCCCCAGUAGCGGCGAGCGAACGGGGAGCAGCCCAGAGCCUGAAUCAGUGUGUGUGUUAGUGGAAGCGUCUGGAAAGGCGCGCGAUACAGGGUGACAGCCCCGUACACAAAAAUACACAUAUUGUGAGCUCGAUGAGUAGGGCGGGACACGUGGUAUCCUGUCUGAAUAUGGGGGGACCAUCCUCCAAGGCUAAAUACUCCUGACUGACCGAUAGUGAACCAGUACCGUGAGGGAAAGGCGAAAAGAACCCCGGCGAGGGGAGUGAAAAAGAACCUGAAACCGUGUACGUACAAGCAGUGGGAGCACGCUUAGGCGUGUGACUGCGUACCUUUUGUAUAAUGGGUCAGCGACUUAUAUUCUGUAGCAAGGUUAACCGAAUAGGGGAGCCGAAGGGAAACCGAGUCUUAACUGGGCGUUAAGUUGCAGGGUAUAGACCCGAAACCCGGUGAUCUAGCCAUGGGCAGGUUGAAGGUUGGGUAACACUAACUGGAGGACCGAACCGACUAAUGUUGAAAAAUUAGCGGAUGACUUGUGGCUGGGGGUGAAAGGCCAAUCAAACCGGGAGAUAGCUGGUUCUCCCCGAAAGCUAUUUAGGUAGCGCCUCGUGAAUUCAUCUCCGGGGGUAGAGCACUGUUUCGGCAAGGGGGUCAUCCCGACUUACCAACCCGAUGCAAACUGCGAAUACCGGAGAAUGUUAUCACGGGAGACACACGGCGGGUGCUAACGUCCGUCGUGAAGAGGGAAACAACCCAGACCGCCAGCUAAGGUCCCAAAGUCAUGGUUAAGUGGGAAACGAUGUGGGAAGGCCCAGACAGCCAGGAUGUUGGCUUAGAAGCAGCCAUCAUUUAAAGAAAGCGUAAUAGCUCACUGGUCGAGUCGGCCUGCGCGGAAGAUGUAACGGGGCUAAACCAUGCACCGAAGCUGCGGCAGCGACGCUUAUGCGUUGUUGGGUAGGGGAGCGUUCUGUAAGCCUGCGAAGGUGUGCUGUGAGGCAUGCUGGAGGUAUCAGAAGUGCGAAUGCUGACAUAAGUAACGAUAAAGCGGGUGAAAAGCCCGCUCGCCGGAAGACCAAGGGUUCCUGUCCAACGUUAAUCGGGGCAGGGUGAGUCGACCCCUAAGGCGAGGCCGAAAGGCGUAGUCGAUGGGAAACAGGUUAAUAUUCCUGUACUUGGUGUUACUGCGAAGGGGGGACGGAGAAGGCUAUGUUGGCCGGGCGACGGUUGUCCCGGUUUAAGCGUGUAGGCUGGUUUUCCAGGCAAAUCCGGAAAAUCAAGGCUGAGGCGUGAUGACGAGGCACUACGGUGCUGAAGCAACAAAUGCCCUGCUUCCAGGAAAAGCCUCUAAGCAUCAGGUAACAUCAAAUCGUACCCCAAACCGACACAGGUGGUCAGGUAGAGAAUACCAAGGCGCUUGAGAGAACUCGGGUGAAGGAACUAGGCAAAAUGGUGCCGUAACUUCGGGAGAAGGCACGCUGAUAUGUAGGUGAAGUCCCUUGCGGAUGGAGCUGAAAUCAGUCGAAGAUACCAGCUGGCUGCAACUGUUUAUUAAAAACACAGCACUGUGCAAACACGAAAGUGGACGUAUACGGUGUGACGCCUGCCCGGUGCCGGAAGGUUAAUUGAUGGGGUCAGCGCAAGCGAAGCUCUUGAUCGAAGCCCCGGUAAACGGCGGCCGUAACUAUAACGGUCCUAAGGUAGCGAAAUUCCUUGUCGGGUAAGUUCCGACCUGCACGAAUGGCGUAAUGAUGGCCAGGCUGUCUCCACCCGAGACUCAGUGAAAUUGAACUCGCUGUGAAGAUGCAGUGUACCCGCGGCAAGACGGAAAGACCCCGUGAACCUUUACUAUAGCUUGACACUGAACAUUGAGCCUUGAUGUGUAGGAUAGGUGGGAGGCUUUGAAGUGUGGACGCCAGUCUGCAUGGAGCCGGCCUUGAAAUACCACCCUUUAAUGUUUGAUGUUCUAACGUGGACCCGUGAUCCGGGUUGCGGACAGUGUCUGGUGGGUAGUUUGACUGGGGCGGUCUCCUCCUAAAGAGUAACGGAGGAGCACGAAGGUUGGCUAAUCCUGGUCGGACAUCAGGAGGUUAGUGCAAUGGCAUAAGCCAGCUUGACUGCGAGCGUGACGGCGCGAGCAGGUGCGAAAGCAGGUCAUAGUGAUCCGGUGGUUCUGAAUGGAAGGGCCAUCGCUCAACGGAUAAAAGGUACUCCGGGGAUAACAGGCUGAUACCGCCCAAGAGUUCAUAUCGACGGCGGUGUUUGGCACCUCGAUGUCGGCUCAUCACAUCCUGGGGCUGAAGUAGGUCCCAAGGGUAUGGCUGUUCGCCAUUUAAAGUGGUACGCGAGCUGGGUUUAGAACGUCGUGAGACAGUUCGGUCCCUAUCUGCCGUGGGCGCUGGAGAACUGAGGGGGGCUGCUCCUAGUACGAGAGGACCGGAGUGGACGCAUCACUGGUGUUCGGGUUGUCAUGCCAAUGGCACUGCCCGGUAGCUAAAUGCGGAAGAGAUAAGUGCUGAAAGCAUCUAAGCACGAAACUUGCCCCGAGAUGAGUUCUCCCUGACCCUUUAAGGGUCCUGAAGGAACGUUGAAGACGACGACGUUGAUAGGCCGGGUGUGUAAGCGCAGCGAUGCGUUGAGCUAACCGGUACUAAUGAACCGUGAGGCUUAACCUU
rnacentral:rRNA from 1 species